UCUUGUUUUUAUAAUAUGGUUAUCUCCAAAAAAUGCUUUUUUUUUUCUAUUUUAUUGUGUCCCCUACUAUUCAUGGCAUUUGUAGACAUUAUAACUUGUUUUACUCUCCAGGUUAUGGACCUUAGACAAUGGUUAAUAGCGACAAUAAUUAUUAAAGCGGUUUCAAAACCAUAUUACUUAAUGCAAAUGAAUGAAAUUUACAACCGAAAAUAGAACUGCUUGCUAGGAGUAAAUAUAAUUUCUGGUAUCAAGACUUUUCUCUAUCGAGCCAAUAAAGAGAAACUCAUAGAAAUGUAUGCUACUCGUCUAAAGUGGUCAGCUAGCAAAUCAUCCUAAGGAUACCAGAACACAUUUUGAAUAUGGUAUUGGUCUUUCCAAGAGAUUUUCUAUCUUCCUGAAAAUUCCAGGCAACCCUGGCAAUUCCUUUCGCUUCUUACACGUUUGUAUUAAGGAUUCAGAAGUUAAAGCAGAAAGAAAACAUUGAAUUAAUUUUGGAAUGAAGAUUUUUAAUGUUAAAAGAUUGAAAAGAAGGAAGCUACAUCAUUUCUAAAGGUUAAAAACAAUUAUGGAAGAUGAUAAUAUAAAUACAUAGUGUGCAACUAAUGAUUUUCAACUUAUAAGCUCUAGUUCUGAUAACCCAAGAAGUCCUGAAAUACACGCAGGAUUACCAUAUGAUAAUGAUGAAACGUUUUAACUCCUUCCAUUCCGAAAAAAUUAAUUAAAACUUACAAUUUUAAAGUUGUUUUAAGCUGUUCAUAUUUUUGAACAAC